CAAGUCGAACGGCAGCACGGGGGCAACCCUGGUGGCGAGUGGCGGACGGGUGAGGAAUACAUCGGAAUCUACCUUCUGGUGGGGGAUAACCAGCCGAAAGGCUGGCUAAUACCGCAUAAGACCGAGAGGUGAAAGCGGGGGACCGAAAGGCCUCGCGCGAGAAGAUGAGCCGAUGUCCGAUUAGCUAGUUGGCGGGGUAAGAGCCCACCAAGGCGACGAUCGGUAGCUGGUCUGAGGGGAUGAUCAGCCACACUGGGACUGAGACACGGCCCAGACUCCUACGGGAGGCAACAGUGGGGAAUAUUGGACAAUGGGCGCAAGCCUGAUCCAGCAAUGCCGCGUGUGUGAAGAAGGCCUUCGGGUUGUAAAGCACUUUUAUCGGGAACGAAAAGCGAUCGGUUAAUAACCGGUCGUGCUGACGGUACCCGAGGAAUAAGCACCGGCUAACUUCGUGCCAGCAGCCGCGGUAAUACGAAGGGUGCAAGCGUUAAUCGGAAUUACUGGGCGUAAAGCGUGCGUAGACGGCCUUUUAAGUCUGCUGUGAAAGCCCUGGGCUCAACCUGGGAACUGCAGUGGAUACUGUGAGGCUGGAGUGCGGUAGAGGAUGGUGGAAUUCCCGGUGUAGCGGUGAAAUGCGUAGAGAUCGGGAGGAACAUCAGUGGCGAAGGCGGCCAUCUGGACCAGCACUGACGUUGAGGCACGAAAGCGUGGGGAGCAAACAGGAUUAGAUACCCUGGUAGUCCACGCCCUAAACGAUGCGAACUGGACGUUGGGCACAACUCGGUGCUCAGUGUCGAAGCUAACGCGUUAAGUUCGCCGCCUGGGGAGUACGCUCGCAAGAGUGAAACUCAAAGGAAUUGACGG
rnacentral:rRNA from 1 species